rnacentral:rRNA from 3 species
GUUUGGUUAAGUUAGAAAGGGCGCACGGUGGAUGCCUUGACACUAGGAGUCGAUGAAGGACGGGACUAACGCCGAUAUGCUUCGGGGAGCUGUAAGUAAGCUUUGAUCCGAAGAUUUCCGAAUGGGGAAACCCACCAUACGUAAUGGUAUGGUAUCCUUAUCUGAAUACAUAGGGUAAGGAAGACAGACCCAGGGAACUGAAACAUCUAAGUACCUGGAGGAAGAGAAAGCAAAUGCGAUUUCCUGAGUAGCGGCGAGCGAAACGGAACAUAGCCCAAACCAAGAGGCUUGCCUCUUGGGGUUGUAGGACAUUCUAUACGGAGUUACAAAGGAACGAGGUAGACGAAGCGACCUGGAAAGGUCCGUCGUAGAGGGUAACAACCCCGUAGUCGAAACUUCGUUCUCUCUUGAAUGUAUCCUGAGUACGGCGGAACACGUGAAAUUCCGUCGGAAUCUGGGAGGACCAUCUCCCAAGGCUAAAUACUCCCUAGUGAUCGAUAGUGAACCAGUACCGUGAGGGAAAGGUGAAAAGCACCCCGGAAGGGGAGUGAAAGAGAUCCUGAAACCGUGUGCCUACAAAUAGUCAGAGCCCGUUAA